UACAAAUAUCCAUCUCACCCCUUUGUGCAUCACCGCGUGCGUUUCCCCCCCUCCGCGAGGAAGGGGGGUCCUCACGUUUUUAACAUCGAACACCCAUUCGAACGUAGUGUAGAAUGUUCUUUGCGCGAUCGUGCGCGAUCAAUACAACUUUCAACAACGGAUCUCUUGGCUCUCGCAUCGAUGAAGAACGCAGCGAAAUGCGAUACGUAAUGUGAAUUGCAGAAUUCAGUGAAUCAUCGAAUCUUUGAACGCACCUUGCGCCCCUUGGCAUUCCGAGGGGCACACCCGUUUGAGUGUCGUGAACAUCCUCAACCUGCUCCGUUUUCUCGAACCGAGUAGGCUUGGAAUUUGGAGGUUUUCUGCUGGCCUCCUCCGAAGCCAGCUCCUCUUAAAUCUAUUAGUGGGAUCCGCUUUGCCAGAUCCUCGACGUCGAUAAGAUGUUUCUACGUCUAGGGUUCCGCUCGCGAAGGACCUGCUUCUAACCGUCCCAUCGGGGACAACGUUCGAGCCGCGAUCUCGCCCCCCUUUACACGGGGUGGGAAAGCUACUCGACCCAUAAAAACCUUGACCUCAAAUCGGGUGAGACUACCCGCUGAACUUAAGCAUAUCAAUAAGCGGAGGAAAAGAAACUAACAAGGAUUCCCCUAGUAACUGCGAGUGAAGCGGGAAAAGCUCAAAUUUAAA
rnacentral:rRNA from 1 species